GUAUUCGAGCCAUAAAGUAGUACGAACGACUCGUUGCCACGGCCGGUGAAGACUACUUUAUACAGAUAAUAUGCUUGAUCUGAAGAAAAGAUCUGUUGUAUAUGGGCUUGACCAAGUAAGACGCUACGACAUCGUUUUGUACUCAAAAUAGCUAUUCCUUCAUUCAACGAGUAGAUGCUGCAAAUAAUCGUUAAGGCAUACGGUAGGAACGGCAAACAGGACUAUUAUCCCUGUCAUGGAAUGCUGCAAAGGCUAUUUCGUAUAUACUGGAAGGCUUAAACUUUCGGCACAAUUAUG
rnacentral:sRNA from 1 species